GGGGCUUUAGCUCAGUGGUAGAGCGCUUGCCUAGGAAGCGCAAGGCCCUGGGUUCGGUCCCCAGCUCCG
rfam:Rattus norvegicus chromosome 10, whole genome shotgun sequence.